rnacentral:rRNA from 1 species
GUGGGGAAUAUUGCACAAUGGGGGAAACCCUGAUGCAGCGACGCCGCGUGAGUGAAGAAGUAUUUCGGUACGUAAAGCUCUAUCAGCAAGGAAGAAAAUGACGGUACUUGACUAAGAAGCCCCGGCUAACUACGUGCCAGCAGCCGCGGUAAUACGUAGGGGGCAAGCGUUAUCCGGAUUUACUGGGUGUAAAGGGAGCGUAGACGGUAUGGUAAGUCAGAUGUGAAAGCCCGGGGCGCAACCCCGGGACUGCAUUUGAAACUAUCAGACUAGAGUGCAGGAGAGGUAAGUGGAAUUCCUAGUGUAGCGGUGAAAUGCGUAGAUAUUAGGAGGAACACCAGUGGCGAAGGCGGCUUACCGGACUGUAACUGACGUUGAGGCUCGAAAGCGUGGGGAGCAAACAGGAUUAGAUACCCGUGUAGUCC